UACAGAGGUCUCAACCGUUGUUCGGAUUCAUUGGGCGUAAAGGGCGCGUAGGUGGCGCUGUAAGUCGGGUGUGAAAUUUCGGAGCUUAACUCCGAAACUGCAUUCGAUACUGCGGUGCUUGAGGACUGGAGAGGAGACUGGAAUUCAUGGUGUAGCAGUGAAAUGCGUAGAGAUCAUGAGGAAGACCAGUGGCGAAGGCGGGUCUCUGGACAGUUCCUGACACUGAGGCACGAAGGCCAGGGGAGCAAACGGG
rnacentral:rRNA from 1 species